CCUACGGGAGGCAGCAGUGAGGAAUAUUGGUCAAUGGACGAGAGUCUGAACCAGCCAAGUAGCGUGAAGGAUGACUGCCCUAUGGGUUGUAAACUUCUUUUAUAAAGGAAUAAAACGAGGCACGUGUGCCUUUUUGCAUGUACUUUAUGAAUAAGGAUCGGCUAACUCCGUGCCAGCAGCCGCGGUAAUACGGAGGAUCCGAGCGUUAUCCGGAUUUAUUGGGUUUAAAGGGAGCGUAGAUGGGUUGUUAAGUCAGUUGUGAAAGUUUGCGGCUCAACCGUAAAAUUGCAAUUGAUACUGGCAGCCAUGAGUACAGUUGAGGUAGGCGGAAUUCGUGGUGUAGCGGUGAAAUGCUUAGAUAUCACGAAGAACUCCGAUUGCGAAGGCAGCUUACUAAACUGCCACUGACAUUGAUGCUCGAAAGUGUGGGUAUCAAACAGGAUUAGAUACCCCUGUAGUC
rnacentral:rRNA from 1 species